GGGAUUCUCUGGAUUUCUUGACUCUUAGCGUUUUGUCUUGAUGCUUCUGUAGGUCCAUAUUACUGUGGUGUGGGAGCAGACAGAGCCUAUGGCAGGGACAUCGUGGAGGCCCAUUACCGGGCCUGCUUGUAUGCUGGUGUCAAGAUUGCGGGGACUAAUGCCGAGGUCAUGCCUGCCCAGUGGGAAUUUCAGAUUGGACCUUGUGAAGGAAUCAGCAUGGGAGAUCAUCUCUGGGUGGCCCGUUUCAUCUUGCAUCGUGUGUGUGAAGACUUUGGAGUGAUAGCAACCUUUGAUCCUAAGCCCAUUCCUGGGAACUGGAAUGGUGCAGGCUGCCAUACCAACUUCAGCACCAAGGCCAUGCGGGAGGAGAAUGGUCUGAAGUACAUCGAGGAGGCCAUUGAGAAACUAAGCAAGCGGCACCAGUACCACAUCCGUGCCUAUGAUCCCAAGGGAGGCCUGGACAAUGCCCGACGUCUAACUGGAUUCCAUGAAACCUCCAACAUCAACGACUUUUCUGCUGGUGUAGCCAAUCGUAGCGCCAGCAUACGCAUUCCCCGGACUGUUGGCCAGGAGAAGAAGGGUUACUUUGAAGAUCGUCGCCCCUCUGCCAACUGUGACCCCUUUUCGGUGACAGAAGCCCUCAUCCGCACGUGUCUUCUCAAUGAAACCGGCGAUGAGCCCUUCCAGUA
rnacentral:sRNA from 1 species